AAUAAAUAAGAUUCAAAUUAUUAUUUUGAAAGUUAACAAAUUGUUCUACCGUACUGGAAUUAUAAAGAACAUUGAUUUCUUUUUAUAAGAAAGCAUAACAUUGGACGAUUUUAGAAUUGUUGAAAACAAUAUACAUUAUCACAGAAUUUCUAAAUACUUGGUGUAAAAAUAGAAAAAAGAGUUACCCAAUUAGAUGAAUAUAGAAAGAUUGAUCUUUGCUGCUUCGCAACCAAGUAAUUUACACAUACUUACCUGAUAUAUCGAUAGGAGUUUUUAAGAAGCCCAAGUUUAUUCGUUAAUUCCUUUCUAUGAGGAAUUUCAAACUCUACGCUUUGCCCAAUUGUCUCAGAGCGAUUUGAUAUUUUUCAUUUUUUACAAGCUUAAAAUCCAGUUGUCAAUUCCAUCGUAGUGCAUUGAAAAUAGGGAGGCCCGUUCCGAUACUCCAGAAUAAUUGUUGCGCGCUUGUUUAUAUAAAACUAGUGAGGCAUAGUGCACGGUGAGCUUUCAAGGUUAUCUACGAGUUGUAACGCAUUGAUCGUUGUAAAUUUAUCAUUCUUUUUAGACGAUGAUAUACAUACCGAACGACAUUUUAACCAGACUGUUGCGCGAUUACCCGAGGUUGUGGGGUCUUUCUGGGUAAUCCCGUAAAGAACACUUCAGAGAGACUGGGUAAAGAGUUGGGCAGGAUUGUAACAGUGAAUAUGGUGAGGUGAAAAUUGACGCAAUUUAAAGCGCCGGAAAAAAGAGUGUCCGAGCGAAACGUCCGUCCGCCAACCUAUGGCAUGCGUUUAAAUUAGGGUAUAAUUGGGCCGCUGAGGUAAUAACUAAAUAAACAGUCCGUAACAAUGACAAGCCUCAGCGCAAUGACAAACCGGCAGAGACACCAGACUUCAUGGGAUUUGACCAGACCGACGAAGGUAGGGGUUUGACAGCGAUAGACGAUAAACGUGACGAUAAAUGACAGUGACGUAGAGGGGGAAAUUCAACCGACCGAUAUGACUGACGGAACUGGUACUACUAAUAUAAAUAAAAGUAUACCAACUGCACCAAUCAAUAUCAUUGGUUUCGAUUAGGUAUCCACAUCAGCGGCCGCAGCGCUUGUGGAGGAGAAUCGGCGGCACAAACCGGCCCGGCAGCCAAUUUAGACAUCAGCAAGGAGGCACUGAAAAAAGUUGUGCGUCCAUGCCUCCGCACGUCCACGCCUCCUCACAAUGAAUGAAUAUUCGCUAUAUUUCAAAGGUAAGUUUACAUUUAUCUUCCCUCAUUGUUAUUUACAAAUUAUUUACUUAUUUCUAUUUAAUUUUAGAUUGACAAACAAGAUAUGCCGCCGCUCACAGCCAGGCCAUAAAAACGAGCAUACGCCUCCACGCUUCCGCGACACAAGGAUUCGUGCCUCUGAUGGUCGCAAAACAAAAAGUUCCUGAGCCAAAUAAAAUUUCGUAAGAAGCUCAGAAACAAACAGAGCCUUCGAAAACAAUUACAAAAGAAACUGUUAAUAAAAUAUUAGAGGCUACUGUACAGCAGUCUGCUGAAGGUAACCUUAAUAAACCUGUUUCUUCUCAGAAAACAUACGAAUUUUUUGGUGGUUACAAAGUAAUUCUCAAAAAAUCGAAGAAAGCUGCAAGAUCAAGACGCCAGAGGUGGAAGAUCAAAUGUUUUCUAUUAACGACAGCACCUUAAGUGCAAAAAGGGACCUAUUUAUGAAAUUGUCGAAGAACCUUCGCGAAGGUAGCCUAGACUACUACCGUUCAAGGUGCUAUUCAAGCACUUUACAGAGAGCCGGAACAUACAACAUUGGUUAUUGAACAUCGUGAAGCUAACACGUAUGUGGGAGGCACUGUCACAUUGGAAUUGGAAUGCAAAAGCAUUUCCAAAUCGGCAGUUCAAGUCAAACACGAUGGUAGAGCUGUCGAAAUGGAUGAGAGGCAUAAAUUUCUUUAUGAAGACGGUGGAAGCAUGCCACUGUUUAUAAAAAACGCCAAUGCGUCGACGCUGGUAAUAUGGCUUUCAUUUUCAUAUGUUCGUUAAGCGCCGUUAGCUGUUUUUUUUUCCUUUACAUCGUUUAUAAAAAACAAGCUUGUGUAAAAGGUGUCGUGGUAGCGAUCUACAUUUUCUUGAACAAUGUGGCUGGCAUAAAAUUCGAAGAUACGCAUCACGCAAGAAACCGGAGCGUGAUAAAAUUGACGUAAGUCUUAAUAAUUACUUACGUAAACUAUUUUCAAAGCAUACAAAAAAAAUAUCCUUAAAUAAUUGGCCAUUUCGAGAUAGCCUUAUAUACGCGUUGGGAGGACGCACCUAGAGAAGAAUGUCAUGAUACUGAAAAAUUUAAGCAGCUUUAAGAAAACUAAGAAUCUACUGCCGUUGUAGUAUACCAAAAGACUUGCCUUAUGUUCAUAGUAAGCACUGAAAUAAGAAAAGAUAGCUGGAAAGUAGUAAUUAUCUGGUAUAAAAAGUGGCUUUUAAAGACUUGUGCUCGUAUUUUUGAUCAAGAAGUGGAAUCACUGUCGGAGUACUAAUUGCUGUUAUGCUGUACACCUUUGGAAUAUAGCGCAUUUUGAUUCAUUGCGAGCACGCGC